GACGUAGGGCGCGGGCGUUGUCCGGAUUUAUUGGGCGUAAAGAGCUCGUAGGCGGCUUGUCGCGUCGACUGUGAAAUCCCGCGGCUCAACUGCGGGUCUGCAGUCGAUACGGGCAGGCUAGAGUUCGGUAGGGGAGACUGGAAUUCCUGGUGUAGCGGUGAAAUUCGUAGAUAUCGGGAGGAACACCGGUGGCGAAGGCGGCGACCUGGGUCGAUACUGACGCUGAGGUGCGAAAGCGUGGGGAGCAAACAGG
rnacentral:rRNA from 1 species